GACGAACGCUGGCGGCGUGCCUAAUACAUGCAAGUAGAACGCUGAAGCUUGGUGCUUGCACCGAGCGGAUGAGUUGCGAACGGGUGAGUAACGCGUAGGUAACCUGCCUGGUAGCGGGGGAUAACUAUUGGAAACGAUAGCUAAUACCGCAUAAGAGUAGAUAUUGCAUGACAUUUGCUUAAAAGGUGCAAUUGCAUCACUACCAGAUGGACCUGCGUUGUAUUAGCUAGUUGGUGAGGUAACGGCUCACCAAGGCAACGAUACAUAGCCGACCUGAGAGGGUGAUCGGCCACACUGGGACUGAGACACGGCCCAGACUCCUACGGGAGGCAGCAGUAGGGAAUCUUCGGCAAUGGACGGAAGUCUGACCGAGCAACGCCGCGUGAGUGAAGAAGGUUUUCGGAUCGUAAAGCUCUGUUGUAAGAGAAGAACGAGUGUGAGAGUGGAAAGUUCACACUGUGACGGUAUCUUACCAGAAAGGGACGGCUAACUACGUG
rnacentral:rRNA from 1 species